UCCCGCCGUGGUGCCUCGACACGUUCGACCUGGUAGAACCCUCGGUCCGAGGCUUGGCGCUGCCCCCUUCCUAAACCGUGUGUCGCAGGUUCGAAUCCUGCCGGGGGAA
rnacentral:tRNA from 1 species